UAAGUAAUUCAUUCGCCAUAGUACAAUAC
rnacentral:sRNA from 1 species